rnacentral:rRNA from 1 species
GAUGAACGCUGGCGGCGUGCCUAAUACAUGCAAGUCGAGCGAACAGAUAAGGAGCUUGCUCCUCUGACGUUAGCGGCGGACGGGUGAGUAACACGUGGGUAACCUACCUAUAAGACUGGGAUAACUUCGGGAAACCGGAGCUAAUACCGGAUAACAUUUGGAACCGCAUGGUUCUAAAGUGAAAGAUGGUUUUGCUAUCACUUAUAGAUGGACCCGCGCCGUAUUAGCUAGUUGGUAAGGUAACGGCUUACCAAGGCAACGAUACGUAGCCGACCUGAGAGGGUGAUCGGCCACACUGGAACUGAGACACGGUCCAGACUCCUACGGGAGGCAGCAGUAGGGAAUCUUCCGCAAUGGGCGAAAGCCUGACGGAGCAACGCCGCGUGAGUGAUGAAGGGUUUCGGAUCGUAAAACUCUGUUAUUAGGGAAGAACAAAUGUGUAAGUAACUAUGCACGUCUUGACGGUACCUAAUCAGAAAGCCACGGCUAACUACGUG